GACUCACAGACUGCAGAUGCACGCUGCGGAUCCAGAAGCCGGUCAGGUAAUGAGGUGCAGAGGUGUGGGGAAGACCUGGGUGCUUCCCUGGGUGCCAACCAGCCUAACCCGCCGGGGCCACCAAACAGAAGUGCUUCUGACAUUAACGCGACACACAGAAGGUGUGUAGGGUGGGUAGUGGAAGUGACCGCAGAGGCCUCUGGGGAUUGUAGUUUUGGAGCUAGAGAGGCGGGCAAGCAGUUGGCUUCGCCCACACGGUGUGCCUCUCACAUCUGCACAGCGCACACAACCAAGCUUAGGAGCCGACUGUUAAGAUGCCCCAGUGACACGGACAAGUUUCUCCUCUGCAACCCAAUGAGAGCUGCUGACCACGAGAGCAUCGCGGGACCGCCAAAGGAUUCUGGAAAAUGUGGUCCCGGGUGGCCAGUGUGCGCUGACCUUCACCUGAAGGUACGGCUUGAAGGAAACUUCUGGAGGGUGGGGUGGUGUUGAAGAGAAGGCACAAUUGUCACCAUUUUGUUCAACAUGGGCGUUUUCUUUGUGCAUUGAUUUGCAUUUUUAAAGGUAUUCCAUUAAAAAUAUGUUUAUCUAUUUUAA
rnacentral:lncRNA from 10 species